rnacentral:misc_RNA from 1 species
CACCUGUUUCAUACCAUCGUUCAAAUCUACGGCAUCUACCAAUUAAAGGAUACACAAUAAGCGUUUGAAAAAAAAAAUUAAGGGUAUUGCUAAGAGAUGUCAGGUUCAGCCUGCACACAACUCAGCUUUCAUCCCAAGCUUCCAAUAUUGGAAAAGAACCAAUACAAAAAUGUUCCGUGCAGAUCGACAGUGGAUAUGCUGUCUCAGAUGGUCGGGGUAGAAAUACUUUAUGGCGUUUUGAGCGAAGAACAUCUAGGACUCCAGAUCAGGCUUAUAGAGACGGCGCGUAGGUUGAAAGCCGAAGAGGCGAAGAGGAAGGAGCUCGAAACCUGCCUAAAACGUGAAAAUCCAAUCAAUCUAGCCUUGGCGGAAAGGAUCCAGGCUCUUGAAGAAUCUGAGGCUAAAUUAAAACGGUGCAAUGAAGACCUUAGGGAAGAAAAUGACCUACUCGAGUUCAGGUUGCUCGAAAUGGAGGACACCGGCAACUUGAACAAACGGAAUGUUUCCACCACAUCCCACCAAGAGGCCGACGAUGUGAGCGAUUCUGGGGUCACGUCUCUUCCAACCAGCGACGACGAACAUCACGAAUUCGAUGUCCAAGACCGCGACGUUAAGACGAGGCUGAUGAAGAUGUGCCAGAACGUGACGAACGUUUCGGAAAGAAUCUGCCUUCAGCAGUGUCUCGCCCUCCUGAGACACUACGAAGCCAGAAUCGAGGGUUUAGAGUCCACCAUCUCUGCAAUGUGCAAUGAGGCAAUCAUGUCCCGAUCACUGCCGAAUGUAAACGGCUCAAACCGCCAGGAUGGAAACGACACGGAGUCCAGGAGUUCGGGGAGGAUCAUCGCUACCGUUUUACCUUUUACCGAAAGCCCGAACGUUUCGAAUUGUUCCAACGACGGACUUCAAAAGGCUUUCGGGAGAGAGGCCUGCGAACUGUCGGAAAGCGGGAUAUUCGACAAUCCCGUCGGAAAGGACAGCUCGACCCAAACGGAAGUCAAAGAAGGAGGCGGCGACCUGUCUGCCGAACUGGAAAAGCUUUCUAAAAUAAGGGAGAGGAUGGAAUGGAGCAACAACCUCCCGCAACCGAGAAAGGAUAUCGCCUUUUACGAAAAGAGGCUGGACGAACUGGAGAAAAGACUGUUCCUGUAUGAAAACAGCAGCGACAAACAUAUCAGAUCAAUAAGGGCCGUAAUAGAUCAGAAUGUAUACCUCACUGCUCAGACAAAUCACAUGAAUGAAAUAAUUGAGAGGCUGAAGAAAGAAAUAAAACGCCUAGAGUGCGAAAAGAGUGAACUCGAUGAAAUUGAAAACGAAACAAGAUUCAGAUGCCAGAGGCUAGAAGCUAAACUUACAUUCGUAAAAGAUAAGAAAAGGCGCUUGAAGUGUGAAUUGAAAGAACUCAAAAGUGAAAUGGCAGAAAGGCGCGAUGAGAGGGACAGAACUCAUACGGCCAAAAUGGAAGCGUUGGUGCAGACGUACGAGAGGAAGAAUCAAGAACUAGAAGAGAAAGAACUGGAAGUGCGCUAUAGACUGCAGAUGUUGGAGAACACAAUGCCGGCGCUGAUGAUGUGGAACAUUUGGAGGAUGAUGAUGAGCGUCCAAACCGCGGGCUGUAGUUCAGUAAUACCCGCCGGUCCCGGCUUCGUACCCAUUUCCGGAAAUAAAUCGGCCGGACCGUCUAUAGGCGGAAAAGACAUAUCUUUCUCGGAAAUGGACGCCCCCAUUGCACAGGGGCCAAAUACAAGAGAAGAAGAGCUUAUAAUGAAGCUGAGAACGCUCGAAAACAAACUCAACACGCAAAACCGCCUUUUGGAAGAAUCGAAAUCUUCGGAAGACGAGUUGAAAAGUAAACUGAGAGAACUCGAAAAACUGAUGGCGAAAGAGAACGUCCUCAGCGAUAUCAUCGAUCAAGAAGUGGACCAAGACGUGGAGCUUUUUGAGAAGUUGAGCAGGAUGGCCAAAGAAAGGGUGGAGAUGGAUAAGCGAAUCAAAGACUUAGAACUUAAAGAAAAACUUUAUAAAGAAACUAUCGAACACGCGGAUAAUUUUAUCGCACAGCUCGAGAAUAAAUUCGACACCCAGUUGAAAGAGAAAGACAACCAAAUGAGCGAACAAGCAGCACGUUUGCACGAAAACGAAAUAAAGCUACGCGCAGCGGAAAGAGAUUCGAUUUCGUCUGGAAUUUUAGAAGAGAAGGUCGUCGCGUUGGACAGCGAACUUAAAAGGCUUCGCGAUGAACUCACGAUGAAAGACAAAGAAAAAGUGGUGCUCGAAGACGCCGAACGGCAACUGCUUCAAGAGCUUCAGGAAGCCAUGAACGAACUCGAAAAUAUGCGAGGAGAGAUUGAAGGACCGUUAAAAGCUAAAAUCGAGCUUUCCAAGAAGAAAUCUCAAGCCAUGGAAGACGAAUUAAAGGCGUCGGAACAGUACAAGAGAAAAAUGGAAGCCGAUCAUAAGCAUGAGGUAGCGUCAUUAAAAAAUGAGUUGAUGAAAUUAAAUCACCAACUUUUGGAAAACGAGGUUACGAUUGGUGAGCUAAAGGAGGAAGUUCAGACUUUAGAGAUGGCUGUUGAAGAACUUAGGGGUCUUCUUUCCUCUGAAAAAGCUAAUAAUGAAGAAGUGGUUAAAAAUUUAGAAUUGAAAUUGGAAGAUAAAGAAAGAGAAGUUGAAUCGAUUCUGAAAGAGAAAGUACAAAUAACGACAAAAAGUCUCAAAGAAGAACUACAAGAAAAGAUUUUCUCGAGUGAAAUGAUCGACCAAGAAAUAAUAUCGGCAAAAGGUGAAUUCAGAUUCACAACAGUCAAGGAAAUGAGCGAACAAGAAAACAAAGAGAACAAUGACUCAGUCCUUCUUAGUCAAAUAAUAUCAGAGGAAGAUUUAGAACAAAGUGUCUCAAGUCAAACUGGAACAAAUCUAAUGACAGUUUUUAACAAAUGGAAAAACCUGAUACCGAUUGGACUCACAGACAUAACAGCAACACAAUUCCAGGCGUUCAUUGCUAUGGUUGAACAAGAUGACCCUCAAGAUAUUGAAUUAGCAAAAUAUGGCCUUUCCAGAGAUUUUCCACUCUCUAAGCCUGGACUCCCUAGGGAAUGCAAUAUUGCUCAAAACGCUGUUGCCAAUGCAAGUGGAAAAGAUGUCAAAGGAACUGUCGAUAAUCUCACAAAGGCCUACAAUCAUUCUAAGCGUUGUGUUCACUGUUCUAAUUUAGUUGUGAAAAGUCUAGAAAAGUUUAUGAAUGAUGUUAGAGAACUAAAGGAGUAUGUUCAGAGAGGAGAUUUAGUGACAAGUAGCACAACCAGUCUUUAGGAGUAUCCGCCAAAAUAUAUGUUUAAAAUACAUGCAAUUCUUGCAAUGAGAAACUGGGAUCUUUUCUAGAAGAUAUAAUUAAACAGCUUGGUGUUAAGUUACCUCAAAUGAAGGAUCUUAGAGGCAAUCAAAGUGAAUAUCUGGGGGAACCAUCAUCAUUAACGACUAACGAAUUAGGUCCUGGAUCAGUGGGGUGGGAUCCAAAUGAAAAUGAGGCUGGGUACAAGAUAAAGCCUACAUUAUCAACAUUACAACUUACAGUCGAUGAACUGAAAGAAAAAUGUAGGGUCAAAGAUACGUUGAUCAAAGCGUUAGCCGAUGAACUGAGGAGCGAUGGACAUUUCAACUCUAACAGGCUGAUGGAGGACAUAACGGAAUACCCGUCGACAGAUCCACCAGAUUUUAAUCGAGUCACUUUGCACAAAUUUUUGAACAAUGAACCGAC